UACGAAGGGGGCUAGCGUUGCUCGGAAUCACUGGGCGUAAAGCGCACGUAGGCGGAUUGCUAAGUCAGGGGUGAAAUCCUGGAGCUCAACUCCAGAACUGCCUUUGAUACUGGCGAUCUCGAGUCCGGGAGAGGUGAGUGGAACUGCGAGUGUAGAGGUGAAAUUCGUAGAUAUUCGCAAGAACACCAGUGGCGAAGGCGGCUCACUGGCCCGGUACUGACGCUGAGGUGGCGAAAGCGUGGGGAGC
rnacentral:rRNA from 1 species